rnacentral:rRNA from 1 species
UACGAAGGGGGCUAGCGUUGCUCGGAAUUACUGGGCGUAAAGCGCGCGUAGGCGGCUUUGUAAGUUAGAGGUGAAAGCCCGGGGCUCAACCCCGGAACUGCCUUUAAGACUGCAUCGCUUGAAUCCGGGAGAGGUGAGUGGAAUUCCGAGUGUAGAGGUGAAAUUCGUAGAUAUUCGGAAGAACACCAGUGGCGAAGGCGGCUCACUGGACCGGCAUUGACGCUGAGGCGCGAAAGCGUGGGGAGCGAACCGG